AUGGCACAUUUUAUACCUUGUCAUAAAAGUGACGAUGCUACUCACAUUGCUGAUUUGUUCUUUCGCGAAGUAGUUCGUUUACAUGGUGUGCCAAAUACAAUUGUUUCUGAUCGUGACACAAAAUUCCUUAGCCACUUUUGGAGGGUGUUGUGGACAAAAUUGGGGACUAAGCUUUUAUUUAGUACUACAUGUCAUCCUCAAACUGAUGGUCAAACUGAAGUGGUUAAUCGUACAUUGUCUACUAUGCUUAGGGCUGUUUUGAAGAAGAACUUAAAAAUGUGGGAAGAAUGUCUACCACAUGUAGAGUUUGCUUAUAAUCGUUACGUUCAUUCCACCACAAAAUUAUGCCCUUUUGAGAUUGUUUAUGGAUUUAUACCUCGUGCACCAAUUGAUUUAUUACCUAUUCCAUCUUCAGAGAAGGUAAACCUUGAUGCUAAAGAACGUGCUGAAUUAGUAUUAAAAAUGCAUGAGAUGACUAAGAAAAAUAUUGAACGCAUGAAUGCCAAAUAUAAACUUGCUGGUAGUCAGGGAAGGAAAAGUGUUGUUUUUGAACCAGGUGAUUUAGUAUGGUUGCAUUUGCGAAAAGACCGUUUCCCUGAUUUACGAAAGUCAAAAUUAAUGCCUCGUGCGGAUGGACCUUUUAAAGUGCUUGAAAAAAUUAACGAGAAUGCAUAUAAGCUUGAUUUACCUGCAGAAUUUCGGGUUAGUCCCACAUUUAAUGUUGCAGAUUUAAAGCCUUAUUUGGGUGAUGACGACGAGGUACCAUCGAGGACGACUUCGAUUCAAGAAGGGGGGAUGAUGAGGACAUCUCUUCUAUUGUUACACCCGCCGCAACUCCUACAUCAGUUAUUCCACUUGGUCCUAUUACUAGAGCGCGGGCGAGACAAAUUAAUGGCCAGGUACUAUCGCUUCUUCGUACAUAUGAUUUAA
rnacentral:rRNA from 1 species